CCUAGUCAUCGGGGUUAUGGGAAAAUAUCUGUUGAUCGUGCAAUUAUCUGUUACGAGAUUUAAUUGAUCUAUUUGUAUACGAUUAUGUUUGUGCGUGCAUUUAUUCCUGCUUUUGAUAUUAUGAUACAGUUUAUUAAAAUAUAUUAUCCUCUUAAAUGGAUAUUUAUUUUUGUAAAAAUACAAAGAUAAUUUCAAAAAUUAUUUUAAUUGCUCGAUAGUGAUCACAAAUAUUUUUAGGAGUUUGUAAAAUUUUAAAAAUCUUAUUUCUAUAAGGACAUGAUUUUUAAUUAGUUUCUGAAUGCAGCUAACUUCUAAAUUUUGUAAAAAUUUUGAAAAUGCUCUGUAAAUUAUGAGUAUUUUAUUUUAUUAGUUUUAUAAUAUUUUGGGAUUUAUAACAAUAUUUCGGUAAUUUUUGGGAGAAGUUUUACUAAUAAGUUAUCUCCGUAAAUCAGUUAAAUACGGAUAGAGGGUAAAAACAUUAGUUAGCUUAUAUUAGGUGGAAGCUUCGGUUAUUGCCACCGAUCAAUACUCUUUUGUUUUUCUUCAGCCACGUAAUACACCUCCUGCAGUCACCUCCUUUUCCCCAAUUUCAAAACCUUCCCUCUGUUAAUCUCUCGACCUCACCGCCUCUUCCCCCCUCACUUCUUCCCUCUCCGCCGCUACAUCCUUACACGCCCUCUCAAUCUCUUCAUCCACAUAAUCACUUAUCCUACGUCUCUCUUCUCUCAGCAGCAGCGCCGCUCUCCUCCGUUUCUCCUUCUACUCGAAGCCGUGCUCCUUCCCCUGGGGCUCUCUCUUAAUUGAUUUCACUUCCUAAUUAGAAGUUCAUCGUGUUCCAUAUUCGUUCGAAUUUAGAAUUGAAGACAUUGACCGAGGCAUUAAUCGAGAAGUGAUUGAAAGGGGUAUUCAGAAAUAGCCAAGCAGAAUGUUACAAGUUGAAGUAGGACGGAGAUUUGUUAUAGAUAAAAGUGUGUCAGAAGCUGGCAGAAAGGAAUGAUUAUGCGGUAUAUAGUGUUACUAGGAAUCUGAGCUAAACUUUGGAGUUAAGGCAAGAAUAAAGAUGAUUCACUUAAGACUAGGCAAGGAUUGCAAGUGGUUGAGUUUCGAGCAGAUGGACAGGUAGAGUAUUUAGGACGAUGUCAUUAAGACUAGAUGCAGUUGGAGUUCUGCAAUUCAAUUCAGUUGGAAAUUAGAUUUGUUUAUUUGGUUAUCAGCUACUCUUCUUAUCGAGGUUUAGCUGAUAAUGUUGUUUAAUUUGUAAAUAAGAUUUUAUAGUUUUAGUUUCUGAUUUCAAUGCUGUAGCCUGUAUGCGAUCCUGUUUUCAGGGGGUGAAAUUGAUUUUGAAUUAAAGACCUUCUUUUAAAAAAAAAAAAUAUCCAGGUUUAGAAAUACUUGUUUUUACUUUCUUCCAAAAAUACAGGUUUUAAAUUGUUUUUCUUUUAAUGGCUCAAAACUACAGGUUUUAAAUUAUUUUUAUUUACACGUGGCACCAGAUCUAGACCCCCGGAUUUGAGGGAUGUCACAGUUGGUAUCAGAGCUGCAGGUUAUAAGUUAUUGAAAUCAGAAUAUAGGUGGUAAUGCCAGGUUUAAUAAAGAGAUGCGCUAAGUAUAAACUCACGUAGAGGUAGUCUACAACUCUUUGGAAGAGUCUGUGUCAAUAGAACCAAGAUUCCAAUACAGUAUUGAUUUUGGGUAUAACAUAGUGUGUAUAAUAGUUCUCUUAGUUCUCUUGACCCAGAACUAGUAAGUUUAUAUAUCAGGGAAGGAAGAACAUGCCCCACUAGAUCUAGUCUAUUGAGUAGUUAGUACCAAUAUCAGCAAACAAAUAGAUUCACCUGUUGAGACUAGAAUGUCAAUAAUUAUUUCAUAGUCCUCGUCACCAAGACAGAGAUAAAUUAGAAGGGUGACUUUAUGUGUGUAUAUUAUGGAUCAAAUUUCUUAACACUAGUUUAAUUGAGUUAGAAACUCAUAGUAGGUGGAUAAGAUUUCCUUCAGUAUUCAUCAGCUUGUUAGUUGAUUUAGAGUCCAAAUCACUUAAAGGAUAGACCUAUUAGGUAAGCUUUAUAAUGGGAGCCAAUUGGGGUUGGAUCAGUAGAGGUUCCCACAUAGUCUAGAGUACCCUUUGUUGUGUCUGCCAAGUUUUUGAGAACUAUUUGGAGAGUCACCUUCUGAUUCUUCUCAGUGAUAUAUAGAAUUGGUGAAAGAAUAUAGGUAUUACCAGGUCCGAAUUUAAAGCUUUGUAUAUAGUGAAGUAGUGAGCAUUAGAGCUAAUACAAGAAUAUUAAACUUGUAGGGUCAAGUAAGAAGUUCCGUACAUAGUUAAGUAAUGGACGCUAAAGUUAUUUAGAGCUCGUGUAGAUUAGUGGAUAUAGUACUUAUGAGUAAGUUAAGACGUCAACACUCAGCGGUGAUGAUUAUACGAAACUCGAUAAUAUUUCGGACUAUGCGAAGCUGAGCAGGACUUCUGACGAUCAUGGAUAUUUAUGAUGAGAUCUUCACAGACCAUUGUGAGUCGACGAUAAUUUAUGUUAUUGAGCAUCAUCGAUUGCUGAAAAAUAGAAGAAGAUUAGAAUCAAAUAAUGAUCCAUCAGAGCAACAUAUCUUGAACAAUCUUGGCAAUACCUUCCUCUUUUAUUGAUUAUAUUGAUUACUUUCUUCAUCAAUGAAUUGUCUUGACAUCUUUUUCCUAGAGACAUUUAAUAAAUACUACAUUUCUCUCUCUCUUGAGUUAUAAAAUGAUACUUGUGUCUAUUUUAUCAUUUCUAACUAAUCUUUUCAUUGAAACUAGCACCUUUGGAACCUAUUCAAUUUUUAACCCAAGGUGCGCAUCAAAGAUUCAUUCAUCAAAAGUCAAUCAUUCUUAAUUGAUUUUGAAUAUCUAUUAUAUCAUUCUACUCUAACUGAGAUGAACAACCCUACCUAUAGGGGACACAAGGACUACCAGUCUGUGUGAUAGGAGUUGGAUGGGACGCCAUCACUUGUGUGUGUUGUACAUUACAAGAAGGUUAACUACCUUUAGUAGUGUCUUAAUUUAGACACGCAACACCAAGUUCUUUAGAUCAUAUUGAUCUCUCGGUUAUUCUUUUGUUUCCAAUCACGUAAUAUUUGUUCCAAUAGAUCUAAUCUUUCAUAUUCUUGUAAUCUUUAAUAGUUGAAGGUAUGCCAACUGAGUUGCCAAGUAAAAUUAAGCCUUUAUAGUAGGAGGUACCAUGAGCAAAAGCGAAUGAUGAUGCGAAUAUACGACAGCAAUCAAGAGGAUAUCACCUCAUAAAGAAGUAUUAUGGAUUUAAGAGAUCGUACUCUCUAGUUUUCUUUUCGCUGAUUCCGAGGACGGAAUCCUUUUAAGGGGGGUAGAUUGUGACAACCCGGAUUUUUCAAAAUAUUUUAUUAAUGGUUUUUAUAAAAAGGAGGAAUAAAAUUUAAUAUUUUAUUCCAGUUUGGUAAAUUAAAAAAAAAAAUAUAUUUAAAAUAUAUUUGUUUAAAUAUUUUCCUAGUCAUCGGGGUUAUGGGAAAAUAUCUGUUGAUCGUGCAAUUAUCUGUUACGAGAUUUAAUUGAUCUAUUUGUAUACGAUUAUGUUUGUGCGUGCAUUUAUUCCUGCUUUUGAUAUUAUGAUACAGUUUAUUAAAAUAUAUUAUCCUCUUAAAUGGAUAUUUAUUUUUGUAAAAAUACAAAGAUAAUUUCAAAAAUUAUUUUAAUUGCUCGAUAGUGAUCACAAAUAUUUUUAGGAGUUUGUAAAAUUUUAAAAAUCUUAUUUCUAUAAGGACAUGAUUUUUAAUUAGUUUCUGAAUGCAGCUAACUUCUAAAUUUUGUAAAAAUUUUGAAAAUGCUCUGUAAAUUAUGAGUAUUUUAUUUUAUUAGUUUUAUAAUAUUUUGGGAUUUAUAACAAUAUUUCGGUAAUUUUUGGGAGAAGUUUUACUAAUAAGUUAUCUCCGUAAAUCAGUUAAAUACGGAUAGAGGGUAAAAACAUUAGUUAGCUUAUAUUAGGUGGAAGCUUCGGUUAUUGCCACCGAUCAAUACUCUUUUGUUUUUCUUCAGCCACGUAAUACACCUCCUGCAGUCACCUCCUUUUCCCCAAUUUCAAAACCUUCCCUCUGUUAAUCUCUCGACCUCACCGCCUCUUCCCCCCUCACUUCUUCCCUCUCCGCCGCUACAUCCUUACACGCCCUCUCAAUCUCUUCAUCCACAUAAUCACUUAUCCUACGUCUCUCUUCUCUCAGCAGCAGCGCCGCUCUCCUCCGUUUCUCCUUCUACUCGAAGCCGUGCUCCUUCCCCUGGGGCUCUCUCUUAAUUGAUUUCACUUCCUAAUUAGAAGUUCAUCGUGUUCCAUAUUCGUUCGAAUUUAGAAUUGAAGACAUUGACCGAGGCAUUAAUCGAGAAGUGAUUGAAAGGGGUAUUCAGAAAUAGCCAAGCAGAAUGUUACAAGUUGAAGUAGGACGGAGAUUUGUUAUAGAUAAAAGUGUGUCAGAAGCUGGCAGAAAGGAAUGAUUAUGCGGUAUAUAGUGUUACUAGGAAUCUGAGCUAAACUUUGGAGUUAAGGCAAGAAUAAAGAUGAUUCACUUAAGACUAGGCAAGGAUUGCAAGUGGUUGAGUUUCGAGCAGAUGGACAGGUAGAGUAUUUAGGACGAUGUCAUUAAGACUAGAUGCAGUUGGAGUUCUGCAAUUCAAUUCAGUUGGAAAUUAGAUUUGUUUAUUUGGUUAUCAGCUACUCUUCUUAUCGAGGUUUAGCUGAUAAUGUUGUUUAAUUUGUAAAUAAGAUUUUAUAGUUUUAGUUUCUGAUUUCAAUGCUGUAGCCUGUAUGCGAUCCUGUUUUCAGGGGGUGAAAUUGAUUUUGAAUUAAAGACCUU